rnacentral:rRNA from 1 species
GGGCCUACGGGGCGCAGCAGUGGGGAAUAUUGGGCAAUGGGCGCAAGCCUGACCCAGCAACGCCGCGUGAAGGAAGAAGGCUUUCGGGUUGUAAACUUCUUUUCUCAGGGACGAAGAAAGUGACGGUACCUGAGGAAUAAGCCACGGCUAACUACGUGCCAGCAGCCGCGGUAAUACGUAGGUGGCAAGCGUUAUCCGGAUUUACUGGGUGUAAAGGGCGCGUAGGCGGGAUGGCAAGUCAGAUGUGAAAUCCGGGGGCUCAACCCCUGAACUGCAUUUGAAACUGUCGUUCUUGAGUACUGGAG